CCUACGGGAGGCAGCAGUGAGGAAUAUUGGUCAAUGGGCGUAAGCCUGAACCAGCCAAGUCGCGUGAGGGAUGAAGGUUCUAUGGAUCGUAAACCUCUUUUAUAAGGGAAUAAAGUGUGGGACGUGUCCUGUUUUGUAUGUACCUUAUGAAUAAGGAUCGGCUAACUCCGUGCCAGCAGCCGCGGUAAUACGGAGGAUCCGAGCGUUAUCCGGAUUUAUUGGGUUUAAAGGGUUCGUAGGCGGCCUUUUAAGUCAGCGGUGAAAGUCUGUGGCUCAACCAUAGAAUUGCCGUUGAAACUGGGAGGCUUGAGUAUGUUUGAGGCAGGCGGAAUGCGUGGUGUAGCGGUGAAAUGCUUAGAUAUCACGCAGAACCCCGAUUGUGAAGGCAGCCUGCCAAGCCAUGACUGACGCUGAUGCACGAAAGCGUGGGGAUCAAACAGGAUUAGAUACCCGGGUAGUC
rnacentral:rRNA from 1 species